GAGGCUAUAGCUCAGUGGUAGAGUACAUGCUUAGCAUGCACAAGGUCCUGGGUUCAAUCCCCAGUACCAUCA
rnacentral:tRNA from 1 species